rnacentral:rRNA from 1 species
UACGUAGGUGGCGAGCGUUGUCCGGAAUUACUGGGUGUAAAGCGCGUGUAGGCGGGAGGCCAAGUCUGUGGUGAAAUCGCUCGGCUUAACUGGGCGGGGUCCAUGGAAACUGGUCACCUGGAGGUCGGUAGAGGCAAGUGGAAUUCCCGGUGUAGUGGUGAAAUGCGUAGAGAUCGGGAGGAACACCAGUGGCGAAGGCGGCCUGCUGGGCUGUUGCUGACGCUGAGGCGCGACAGCGUGGGGAGCAAACAGG